CAGAAAAUAAAAUGACUACAUUUUGCUUUCCGUGUUCAUACUGCAUGAGAGAUCCGGGCUGGGAGAAGGAACUAUUCCCGGAAGGACUGGCAGAUGAAGAAAUAGAGGUUCUGAGGGCUUCAGUACUUGUCCCAGGUCGCUCAAGCACAGUGUCAGGAUUUGACCCCAAGCUGGCGACUCCAGGACCAGAGCCUGACUGCACGGUGUCGCCAGUAGCAACAGAUGAGAGAAGAUGCUUCCAUGGUUUGAAGCUCAGGUUCCAGACAGCUGUACCUGUAGGAACGGGUAUCAGUUAGAAAUGCCUGGCACAUGUAACAGCAAAUCCAAUUACAAUUGCUUAAGCAAAUAGGGGUUUUCAUAAAGGACAUUUAAUUAUG